rnacentral:rRNA from 1 species
UACGAAGGGAGCUAGCGUUGUUCGGAAUCACUGGGCGUAAAGCGCACGUAGGCGGAUGUGCCAGUCAGGGGUGAAAUCCCGGAGCUCAACUUCGGAACUGCCUUUGAUACAGCACAUCUGGAGUCCGGAAGAGGUGGGUGGAAUUCCUAGUGUAGAGGUGAAAUUCGUAGAUAUUCGCAAGAACACCAGUGGCGAAGGCGGCUCACUGGCCCGUAACUGACGCUGAGGCACGAAAGCGUGGGGAGCAAACAGG